rnacentral:rRNA from 1 species
AUUGAACGCUGGCGGCAUGCCUUACACAUGCAAGUCGAACGGUAACAGGUCUUCGGAUGCUGACGAGUGGCGAACGGGUGGGCAAUACAUCGGAACGUGCCUAGUAGUGGGGGAUAACUACUCGAAAGAGUGGCUAAUACCGCAUGAGAUCUACGGAUGAAAGCAGGGGAUCGCAAGACCUUGUGCUACUCGAGCGGCCGAUGGCAGAUUAGGUAGUUGGUGGGAUAAAAGCUUACCAAGCCGACGAUCUGUAGCUGGUCUGAGAGGACGAUCAGCCACACUGGGACUGAGAAACGGCCCAGACUCCUGCGGGAGGCAGCAGUGGGGAAUUUUGGACAAUGGGCGCAAGCCUGAUCCAGCAAUGCCGCGUGCAGGAUGAAGGCCUUCGGGUUGUAAACUGCUUUUGUACGGAACGAAAAGCCCCGGGUUAAUACCCUGGGGUCAUGACGGUACCGUAAGAAUAAGCACCGGCUAACUACGUGCCAGCCGCCGCGGUAA